ensembl:snRNA U6 U6 spliceosomal RNA
AUGAUUUCUUUGACAGCACAUAUACUAAAAUUGGAAUGGUACAGAGAAGAUUAGCAUGGCCUCUGCAUAAGGAUGACAUGCAAAUUUGUGAAGUGUUCCAUAUUUUU